rnacentral:rRNA from 1 species
AACGAACGCUGGCGGCAUGCCUAACACAUGCAAGUCGAACGAGAUCCUUCGGGGUCUAGUGGCGCACGGGUGCGUAACGCGUGGGAAUCUGCCCUUAGGUUCGGAAUAACAGUUAGAAAUGACUGCUAAUACCGGAUGAUGACGUUAAGUCCAAAAAUUUAUCGCCUGAGGAUGAGCCCGCGUAGGAUUAGCUAGUUGGUGUGGUAAAGGCGCACCAAGCCGCCGAUCCUUAGCUGGUCUGAGAGGAUGAUCAGCCACACUGGGACUGAGACACGGCCCAGACUCCUACGGGAGGCAGCAGUGGGGAAUAUUGGACAAUGGGCGCAAGCCUGAUCCAGCAAUGCCGCGUGAGUGAUGAAGGCCUUAGGGUUGUAAAGCUCUUUUACCCGAGAUGAUAAUGACAGUAUCGGGAGAAUAAGCCCCGGCUAACUCCGUG